rnacentral:rRNA from 1 species
AUUGAACGCUGGCGGCAUGCCUUACACAUGCAAGUCGAACGGUAACAGGUUAAGCUGACGAGUGGCGAACGGGUGAGUAAUAUAUCGGAACGUGCCCAGUCGUGGGGGAUAACUGGUAGAAAGAGCAGCUAAUAACGCAUACGACCUGAGGGUGAAAGCGGGGGAUCGCAAGACAUCGCGCGAUUGGAGCGGCCGAUAUCAGAUUAGGUAGUUGGUGGGGUAAAGGCCUACCAAGCCUACGAUCUGUAGCUGGUCUGAGAGGACGACCAGCCACACUGGGACUGAGACACGGCCCAGACUCCUACGGGAGGCAGCAGUGGGGAAUUUUGGACAAUGGACGCAAGUCUGAUCCAGCCAUGCCGCGUGCGGGAAGAAGGCCUUCGGGUUGUAAACCGCUUUUGUCAGGGAAGAAAAGGUUCUGGUUAAUACCUGGGACUCAUGACGGUACCUGAAGAAUAAGCACCGGCUAACUACGUGCCAGCCGCCGCAGUAACAC